rnacentral:rRNA from 1 species
CACUCCUGCGGGAGGCAGCCGUGGGGAAUAUUGCACAAUGGGCGCAAGCCUGAUGCAGCGACGCCGCGUGGGGGAUGAAGGCCUUCGGGUUGUAAACUCCUUUCGCUAGGGACGAAGCUUUUUUGUGACGGUACCUAGAUAAGAAGCACCGGCUAACUACGUGCCAGCAGCCGCGGUAAUACGUAGGGUGCGAGCGUUGUCCGGAAUUACUGGGCGUAAAGGGCUCGUAGGUGGUUUGUCGCGUCGUCUGUGAAAUUCUGGGGCUUAACUCCGGGCGUGCAGGCGAUACGGGCAUAACUUGAGUGCUGUAGGGGUAACUGGAAUUCCUGGUGUAGCGGUGAAAUGCGCAGAUAUCAGGAGGAACACCGAUGGCGAAGGCAGGUUACUGGGCAGUUACUGACGCUGAGGAGCGAAAGCAUGGGUAGCGAACAGGAUUAGAAACCCCAGUAGUCCCAUGAU